rnacentral:rRNA from 1 species
UACGGAGGGGGUUAGCGUUGUUCGGAAUUACUGGGCGUAAAGCGCGCGUAGGCGGGCUGUUAAGUCGGGGGUGAAAUCCCGGGGCUCAACCCCGGAACUGCCUUCGAUACUGGCAGCCUUGAGUUCGAGAGAGGUGAGUGGAACUCCGAGUGUAGAGGUGAAAUUCGUAGAUAUUCGGAAGAACACCAGUGGCGAAGGCGGCUCACUGGCUCGAUACUGACGCUGAGGUGCGAAAGUGUGGGGAGCAAACAGGAUUAGAUACCCGUGUA